GAUGAACGCUGGCGGCGUGCCUAACACAUGCAAGUCGAGCGAGUGAGUUCUUCGGAACGAUCUAGCGGCGGACGGGUGGGUAACACGUGGGCAACCUGCCUCAUAGAGGGGAAUAGCCUCCCGAAAGGGAGAUUAAUACCGCAUAACAUCGUUGAAGGGCAUCCUUCGAUGAUCAAAGGAGCAAUCCGCUAUGAGAUGGGCCCGCGGCGCAUUAGCUAGUUGGUGAGGUAACGGCUCACCAAGGCGACGAUGCGUAGCCGACCUGAGAGGGUGAUCGGCCACAUUGGGACUGAGACACGGCCCAGACUCCUACGGGAGGCAGCAGUGGGGAAUAUUGCACAAUGGGGGAAACCCUGAUGCAGCAACGCCGCGUGAGUGAUGACGGCCUUCGGGUUGUAAAGCUCUGUCUUUGGGGACGAUAAUGACGGUACCCAAGGAGGAAGUCACGGCUAACUACGUGCCAGCAGCCGCCGUAA
rnacentral:rRNA from 1 species